GAAGCAAAGAUGAGUCACUGCUUUCCGCCAAGGUGGAGCGCGCAGUUCUAGUUAGACGUCAGUCUUGGUGUAGCAGUCGUCAGUGUUAUUUGGCUGAGUGGUAGCGGAAGCAUAAUGGAGUGCCCAUGCUGUCAACAGUUUCCUGACGAGAUAGAGAUGUUGUACCGAUUUUACACCACAGUGCAAUACAACCAAACUGCACUACCAUAAGGACAUCUCAUUUCUGUUUGCCUGUCGGCUCAGACUGGGACACUCGUGGUACGUAUGGAAAAUGAAGCUUAUGGACGUCUGUAUUGAAUCCAGAAGCACCAGAAUUUGUAAGUUCAACAGUGACGGUGCAGCAGUUGUCGUUACAUCAAGAUGCACCUGAACUUCAGAGUUCGGCAACUGUGCUGGUGAUGCAGUCAAAAUUGAAUCCGGAGGUGCCAGAAUUUGAGGUAUGGAAUGGGCAUGGAAAG